AUUAUAUUAGAUAGAACUUAACUGAUCCCUUGGGAAGACUCCCUCAGGGAAAAUGAGGUUCCAGCAGCAUUGAAUAGCAGCACACAUGGUAAGAAGCACACAGAGUAUCAAAAGUGAAAGUGCAAGAGAAAAGCAG